CUCUCUCUCCUAAAAUCAGCCGAAUACCCCCUUUCUUACCUCCAUACUUUCGAAAUUUUGAUGAUUCUUGCAAGAACAUCAUUAAAUCUAAGGUGUUUCCAAGCUAUUUUGAUGAUCCAAAGGUGUUUUCUUAGUGAAAUAAGCUUUCAAACAUCAAAAAUCAUGUCAAAACCAACUUGAAUUUUGAAGGACGUGUAGAAAAUCAAUCUCUGGGAUUGCGCUAUUAAAAAUACGCACCCAAAGGUACUUGAGUACGGCUUCGGGAAUUAUGGCGUAUCUUGUGGUUGUUGAUGCAUGUUUUGUUACUCAAUAAUGUUGGACUAACUUUUAAAACUUCUGGGACGAACGUAAUAAGAUCCAUGAGGAUCAUAAACAA